UGGGGAAUAUUGGGCAAUGGGCGAAAGCCUGACCCAGCGACGCCGUGUGGGCGAUGAAGGCCUUCGGGUUGUAAAGCCCUGUGAGGUGGAAAGAAGGGUCCAGAGGUUAAUACCCUCUGGACUUUGACGGUACCACCAGAGGAAGCACCGGCUAACUCCGUGCCAGCAGCCGCGGUAAUACGGAGGGUGCAAGCGUUGUUCGGAAUUACUGGGCGUAAAGGGCGCGUAGGUGGUUGUGUAAGUCAGAUGUGAAAUCCUUAGGCUUAACCUGAGAACUGCAUCUGAUACUGCAUGACUCGAGUACAGCAGAGGGAAACGGAAUUCCUGGUGUAGAGGUGAAAUUCGUAGAUAUCAGGAGGAACACCGGUGGCGAAGGCGGUUUCCUGGGCUGAUACUGACACUGAGGCGCGAAAGCGUGGGGAGCAAACA
rnacentral:rRNA from 1 species